GGGCAAGAAAGGCAGGCGGCUGAAAAUAUACGAAAAAGAAAAGAACAGUACGAUGGCUGCUACGAGUUUAUUGCUAACGAUUUUAAGGGUUCAAGAAAAAGAGAAGGCUUAGGAUUGAAGGUUUUAGCAAAAAGUUUAUUGUCGUUAGAAUACGUUUAAAACUCAAUACUUUAACAUGUGUUCUGCUGUGAAUAACUUUGAAUAUGUUUGUGUUUCGUUCUUGACCAUGCUCGGCUAAUUUUCCUUAUUGUUACCCAGGCUAUGAUAAUUGUUAAUUUAUUUAUGGUUUCUUGGUUUGGUUAAUUUAUGUUUUGGCACAAUAUUAUGGUAAAAGUGUUCUAAAUUAGGUUCUAAUGGUUAUGCGUAUUUAAUAAUUGAUGGUUUAUAUUUGUUCCACCUUUCUUGCUUAAAAUUAAUUGCGUAUUAAUUAAAUCUAGGAUUUGGUGAUUUCGUAGACUUUGUGUUUUCGACUAAAUCUUGUGGUUGCUAGACGUAGUACACCCUAGGAACAAACUAAUAAAUUAUUUGGUAAUUAAAUAUUCUACCAUAUUUGAGACCGAGAGGAGAUUAGAUGUCGGGUUGUCUUAAUCAUUAGACGGGUUAGGUGUUAAUUGCACGAGAGUAAAUUGUAACACCCCAAAAAGGGUUAACAUGAAAAUAGGUUAAAUAACUAAAAGAAUUAACUUAGUAAAAAUAUCACAAAAGCUAGAUAAAGGAUGGAAAGUGCCAAAUUAAAAACAUGUAAACUAUAUGGGGGUUAAACAUGGCCAAUGAUAAAAUAAAGGUAUUAGAAGGGGAAAACCCAGAAACACACACAUUGUGCGUGUCUGGGGAUCGAACAAGGCAGAACAAGGGUGAAAACCCUUGUUUAUCAAAUUCAAUCAAUUGGGUAAGAGAUUAGAAGAAAAUCAACUGCAUGAACUCAAAUCUACACUCAUCUAAACUUGAUUUUUAAAGAGGCGCGAAGGAAGAAGGUUCAAGUACUAGGAAAUCGGAAGGCCCGCAAGAUCGAGUGUAUGGAAGUUGAGAAGUAAGUAGUAUGAUCCGUUAUGAACGAAUGAUGUGAAAGGAAGGUUUAUGAACAAGGUUGCAUCAUAACCGAUUUAUCUUAGUUGAACCGGUUAUUGGAAAGUUAAGAAAGAAUGUAAUGAAGCUUUACUCGAUCCGUCAUGUACGGGUUGGGGUGCUUGCGAAAGGAUGUAAGGAUUUUUAUAGUUCGUCAUAAACGAACCGAAUGGGAGUUAUGUUAUGAAUGUUAAUAUCCGUUAUUAACGGCUAUGUAAAGAAUGGAAUGUAACGUUUCUAUCGAGACGGGAAUGUAUUGACCCGUUCAACGGGUAGUAAGCGUAAAGAAAAAGAAUGUUGUAAAGCCUCAAUUUAAUCGGUUCGGCGACUUGGAACGAGCACCCAUAUGUAAUUCGCCUACAAGCGCUUCCGCUACCUUUUGUAACAAAGUCAUGGUCAAAUGUAUUUUGUUGUAGUUAGUUUUAAAUAUUGGUUAAUCUUUGAAGUUUGACUUGUUUGGUCUUUUGAAAUUUCUCUAGAUGUCGGUAGUUAUCUAAAACUAUGUUUUGGAUUUGUAAGUCUUUUGAAAGUGAUGUUAAUUACUUGAAAUUACGUUUGUCAAAACAGGGAUUGUUCAUAUAGCAAAUGGGUCAUGCCGAAUUU
rnacentral:lncRNA from 1 species